GACGAACGCUGGCGGCGUGCCUAAUACAUGCAAGUCGAACGCAGUGGGUACGGGUGAGUAACACGUGGGUAACCUCCCAUCAGCAGGGAUAACACUUGGAAACAGGUACUAAACCGAUACGGAUGGCUGGACCAGCGGUGCAUUAGCUAGUUGGUGAGGUACCGGCUCACCAAGGCCACGAUGAAUAGCCGACCUGAGAUGGUGAUCGGCCACACUGGGACUGAGACACUGCCCAGACUCCUACGGGAGGCAGCAGUAGGGAAUAUUCGGCAAUGGGCGCAAGUCUGACCGAGCCACGCCGCGUGGGUGAAGAAGGUGUUCGGAUCGUAAAACUCUGUUGUUAGAGAAGCGGUAUCUAACGAAAAAGCCCCGGCUAACUACGUGCCAGCAGCCGCGGUAAGAC
rnacentral:rRNA from 1 species